ACUAAGCGUACACGGUGGAUGCCCUGGCAGUCAGAGGCGAUGAAGGACGUGCUAAUCUGCGAUAAGCGUCGGUAAGGUGAUAUGAACCGUUAUAACCGGCGAUUUCCGAAUGGGGAAACCCAGUGUGUUUCGACACACUAUCAUUAACUGAAUCCAUAGGUUAAUGAGGCGAACCGGGGGAACUGAAACAUCUAAGUACCCCGAGGAAAAGAAAUCAACCGAGAUUCCCCCAGUAGCGGCGAGCGAACGGGGAGCAGCCCAGAGCCUGAAUCAGUGUGUGUGUUAGUGGAAGCGUCUGGAAAGGCGCGCGAUACAGGGUGACAGCCCCGUACACAAAAAUGCACAUGCUGUGAGCUCGAUGAGUAGGGCGGGACACGUGGUAUCCUGUCUGAAUAUGGGGGGACCAUCCUCCAAGGCUAAAUACUCCUGACUGACCGAUAGUGAACCAGUACCGUGAGGGAAAGGCGAAAAGAACCCCGGCGAGGGGAGUGAAAAAGAACCUGAAACCGUGUACGUACAAGCAGUGGGAGCCUCUUUAUGGGGUGACUGCGUACCUUUUGUAUAAUGGGUCAGCGACUUAUAUUCUGUAGCAAGGUUAACCGAAUAGGGGAGCCGAAGGGAAACCGAGUCUUAACUGGGCGUUAAGUUGCAGGGUAUAGACCCGAAACCCGGUGAUCUAGCCAUGGGCAGGUUGAAGGUUGGGUAACACUAACUGGAGGACCGAACCGACUAAUGUUGAAAAAUUAGCGGAUGACUUGUGGCUGGGGGUGAAAGGCCAAUCAAACCGGGAGAUAGCUGGUUCUCCCCGAAAGCUAUUUAGGUAGCGCCUCGUGAAUUCAUCUCCGGGGUAGAGCACUGUUUCGGCAAGGGGGUCAUCCCGACUUACCAACCCGAUGCAAACUGCGAAUACCGGAGAAUGUUAUCACGGGAGACACACGGCGGGUGCUAACGUCCGUCGUGAAGAGGGAAACAACCCAGACCGCCAGCUAAGGUCCCAAAGUCAUGGUUAAGUGGGAAACGAUGUGGGAAGGCCCAGACAGCCAGGAUGUUGGCUUAGAAGCAGCCAUCAUUUAAAGAAAGCGUAAUAGCUCACUGGUCGAGUCGGCCUGCGCGGAAGAUGUAACGGGGCUAAACCAUGCACCGAAGCUGCGGCAGCGACGCUUAUGCGUUGUUGGGUAGGGGAGCGUUCUGUAAGCCUGUGAAGGUGUGCUGUGAGGCAUGCUGGAGGUAUCAGAAGUGCGAAUGCUGACAUAAGUAACGAUAAAGCGGGUGAAAAGCCCGCUCGCCGGAAGACCAAGGGUUCCUGUCCAACGUUAAUCGGGGCAGGGUGAGUCGACCCUAAGGCGAGGCCGAAAGGCGUAGUCGAUGGGAAACAGGUUAAUAUUCCUGUACUUGGUGUUACUGCGAAGGGGGGACGGAGAAGGCUAUGUUGGCCGGGCGACGGUUGUCCCGGUUUAAGCGUGUAGGCUGAUUUUCCAGGCAAAUCCGGAAAAUCAAGGCUGAGGCGUGAUGACGAGGCACUACGGUGCUGAAGCAACAAAUGCCCUGCUUCCAGGAAAAGCCUCUAAGCAUCAGGUAACAUCAAAUCGUACCCCAAACCGACACAGGUGGUCAGGUAGAGAAUACCAAGGCGCUUGAGAGAACUCGGGUGAAGGAACUAGGCAAAAUGGUGCCGUAACUUCGGGAGAAGGCACGCUGAUAUGUAGGUGAAGUCCCUCGCGGAUGGAGCUGAAAUCAGUCGAAGAUACCAGCUGGCUGCAACUGUUUAUUAAAAACACAGCACUGUGCAAACACGAAAGUGGACGUAUACGGUGUGACGCCUGCCCGGUGCCGGAAGGUUAAUUGAUGGGGUCAGCGCAAGCGAAGCUCUUGAUCGAAGCCCCGGUAAACGGCGGCCGUAACUAUAACGGUCCUAAGGUAGCGAAAUUCCUUGUCGGGUAAGUUCCGACCUGCACGAAUGGCGUAAUGAUGGCCAGGCUGUCUCCACCCGAGACUCAGUGAAAUUGAACUCGCUGUGAAGAUGCAGUGUACCCGCGGCAAGACGGAAAGACCCCGUGAACCUUUACUAUAGCUUGACACUGAACAUUGAGCCUUGAUGUGUAGGAUAGGUGGGAGGCUUAGAAGUGUGGACGCCAGUCUGCAUGGAGCCGGCCUUGAAAUACCACCCUUUAAUGUUUGAUGUUCUAACGUGGACCCGUAAUCCGGGUUGCGGACAGUGUCUGGUGGGUAGUUUGACUGGGGCGGUCUCCUCCUAAAGAGUAACGGAGGAGCACGAAGGUUGGCUAAUCCUGGUCGGACAUCAGGAGGUUAGUGCAAUGGCAUAAGCCAGCUUGACUGCGAGCGUGACGGCGCGAGCAGGUGCGAAAGCAGGUCAUAGUGAUCCGGUGGUUCUGAAUGGAAGGGCCAUCGCUCAACGGAUAAAAGGUACUCCGGGAUAACAGGCUGAUACCGCCCAAGAGUUCAUAUCGACGGCGGUGUUUGGCACCUCGAUGUCGGCUCAUCACAUCCUGGGGCUGAAGUAGGUCCCAAGGGUAUGGCUGUUCGCCAUUUAAAGUGGUACGCGAGCUGGGUUUAGAACGUCGUGAGACAGUUCGGUCCCUAUCUGCCGUGGGCGCUGGAGAACUGAGGGGGCUGCUCCUAGUACGAGAGGACCGGAGUGGACGCAUCACUGGUGUUCGGGUUGUCAUGCCAAUGGCACUGCCCGGUAGCUAAAUGCGGAAGAGAUAAGUGCUGAAAGCAUCUAAGCACGAAACUUGCCCCGAGAUGAGUUCUCCCUGACUCCUUGAGAGUCCUGAAGGAACGUUGAAGACGACGACGUUGAUAGGCCGGGUGUGUAAGCGCAGCGAUGCGUUGAGCUAACCGGUACUAAUGAACCGUGAGGCUUAACC
rnacentral:rRNA from 1 species